UAGAUGGAAGCUCACUGGUUUGAGCGCUUAGCUGUUAACUAAGAGAAUGUAGGAUCAAGGCCUGCCCAUCUAG
rnacentral:tRNA from 1 species